rnacentral:rRNA from 1 species
AUGUACUACGCCCGUGCGUUCGAGCGCCACGCGGUGGCCAUCCAGCAGGAAUCACCGUCCCGGACCGCUGGGUCGCUACCCGGGCCGGAUUCCGCGCAGGGUCGGCCUGCGCAGGCUUCUGCGGCACCCCUCGCCGUGACCGCGGCGCGCCCGUUCCGCCGGCUCACCUCAGCCGAGCUACUCGAGCGUCGCCGCCAAGGGUUGUGCUUCAACUGCGAUGAGCCCUACACGCCCGGCCAUGCCUGCCCGCGACUCUUCUACCUGGAGGUUGCAGACUACAUUCCGGAGGAACGCCGUCGCCGCCGACCUGGCCGCCCCAGCUGUCGAGAAGGUGUUUGA